GACGAACGCUGGCGGCGUGCUUAACACAUGCAAGUCGAGCGACUGCAUUCUUUUCGGAGGGUGUAUGGAGCGGCGAACGGGUGAGUAACACGUGAGUAAUCUGCCUUUGGCUUGGGAAUAACUUCGGGAAAUCGGGGCUAAUGCCUGAUGUUUACUGUCUGCUGCAUGGUGGGUGGUGGAAAAGAUUUUUUUGGCCAGGGAUGAGCUCGCGGUCUAUCAGC
rnacentral:rRNA from 1 species